rnacentral:rRNA from 1 species
GGUUAAGCGACUAAGCGUACACGGUGGAUGCCCUGGCAGUCAGAGGCGAUGAAGGACGUGCUAAUCUGCGAUAAGCGUCGGUAAGGUGAUAUGAACCGUUAUAACCGGCGAUUUCCGAAUGGGGAAACCCAGUGUGUUUCGACACACUAUCAUUAACUGAAUCCAUAGGUUAAUGAGGCGAACCGGGGGAACUGAAACAUCUAAGUACCCCGAGGAAAAGAAAUCAACCGAGAUUCCCCCAGUAGCGGCGAGCGAACGGGGAGCAGCCCAGAGCCUGAAUCAGUGUGUGUGUUAGUGGAAGCGUCUGGAAAGGCGCGCGAUACAGGGUGACAGCCCCGUACACAAAAAUGCACAUGCUGUGAGCUCGAUGAGUAGGGCGGGACACGUGGUAUCCUGUCUGAAUAUGGGGGGACCAUCCUCCAAGGCUAAAUACUCCUGACUGACCGAUAGUGAACCAGUACCGUGAGGGAAAGGCGAAAAGAACCCCGGCGAGGGGAGUGAAAAAGAACCUGAAACCGUGUACGUACAAGCAGUGGGAGCACGCUUAGGCGUGUGACUGCGUACCUUUUGUAUAAUGGGUCAGCGACUUAUAUUCUGUAGCAAGGUUAACCGAAUAGGGGAGCCGAAGGGAAACCGAGUCUUAACUGGGCGUUAAGUUGCAGGGUAUAGACCCGAAACCCGGUGAUCUAGCCAUGGGCAGGUUGAAGGUUGGGUAACACUAACUGGAGGACCGAACCGACUAAUGUUGAAAAAUUAGCGGAUGACUUGUGGCUGGGGGUGAAAGGCCAAUCAAACCGGGAGAUAGCUGGUUCUCCCCGAAAGCUAUUUAGGUAGCGCCUCGUGAAUUCAUCUCCGGGGGUAGAGCACUGUUUCGGCAAGGGGGUCAUCCCGACUUACCAACCCGAUGCAAACUGCGAAUACCGGAGAAUGUUAUCACGGGAGACACACGGCGGGUGCUAACGUCCGUCGUGAAGAGGGAAACAACCCAGACCGCCAGCUAAGGUCCCAAAG